GACGAACGCUGGCGGCGUGCCUAACACAUGCAAGUUGAGCGACGACCCAGGGCUUGCCCUGGGGCAAAGCAGCGAACGGGUGAGUAACACGUGGGUACCUUACCCCGUUAACCGGGACAACCCGUGGCAACUCGGGCUAUUCCCGGAUGUGCCCACUGGACUUCGGUUCAGUGCGUAAGGGCAGCUUCCCCCUCCGUAUCGGGUGGGCCCCUCGGCCCAUUAGUUUGUUGGUGGGGUAACGGCCCACCAAGCCCGCGAUGGGUAGCUGGUCUGAGAGGACGAUCAGCCACACUGGGACUGAGACACGGCCCAGACUCCUACGGGAGGCAGCAGUGGGGAAUCUUGCGCAAUGCGCGAAAGCGUGACGCAGCAACGCCGCGUGGGGGAAGAAGGCCUUCGGGUUGUAAACCCCUUUCAGGAGGGACGAAGGUUCGGCGGUGAAUAGCCGUCCGGACUGACGGUACCUCCACAAGAAGCCCCGGCUAACUACGUG
rnacentral:rRNA from 1 species